rnacentral:rRNA from 1 species
GAUGAACGCUGGCGGCGUGCCUAAUACAUGCAAGUCGAGCGAACGGACGAGAAGCUGCUUUUCUGAUGUUAGCGGCGGACGGGUGAGUAACACGUGGAUAACCUACCUAUAAGACUGGGAUAACUUCGGGAAACCGGAGCUAAUACCGGAUAAUAUUUUGAACCGCAUGGUUCAAAAGUGAAAGACGGUCUUGCUGUCACUUAUAGAUGGAUCCGCGCUGCAUUAGCUAGUUGGUAAGGUAACGGCUUACCAAGGCAACGAUGCAUAGCCGACCUGAGAGGGUGAUCGGCCACACUGGAACUGAGACACGGUCCAGACUCCUACGGGAGGCAGCAGUAGGGAAUCUUCCGCAAUGGGCGAAAGCCUGACGGAGCAACGCCGCGUGAGUGAUGAAGGUCUUCGGAUCGUAAAACUCUGUUAUUAGGGAAGAACAUAUGUGUAAGUAACUGUGCACAUCUUGACGGUACCUAAUCAGAAAGCCACGGCUAACUACGUG